UACGGGGGGGGCAAGCGUUGUUCGGAAUUACUGGGCGUAAAGGGUUUGUAGGUGGCCAACUAAGUCAGACGUGAAAUCCCCAGGCUUAACUUGGGAACUGCGUCUGAUACUGGGAGGCUUGAGUGCGGGAGAGGGAUGUGGAAUUCCCGGUGUAGCGGUGAAAUGCGCAGAUAUCGGGAGGAACACCAAUGGCGAAGGCAGCUCGCUGGGACGUUACUGACGCUGAGACGGCGAAAGCGUGGGGAG
rnacentral:rRNA from 1 species